GUCCCUUUCCUCAGUCCCUGUCCCCUUCCUCAGCCCCUGAGGAGGGGGACAGGGACUGAGGAAGGGGUCUGGAGCUGAGGAGGGGGACAGGGACAG